rnacentral:rRNA from 1 species
UGGGGAAUAUUGGACAAUGGGCGCAAGCCUGAUCCAGCAAUGCCGCGUGAGUGAGGAAGGCCUUAGGGUUGUAAAGCUCUUUCACCCACGACGAUGAUGACGGUAGUGGGAGAAGAAGCCCCGGCUAACUUCGUGCCAGCAGCCGCGGUAAUACGAAGGGGGCGAGCGUUGUUCGGAUUUACUGGGCGUAAAGGGCGCGCAGGCGGCUCAUCAAGUCAGGCGUGAAAGCCCCGGGCUUAACCUGGGAGGUGCGUCUGGGACUGGUGGGCUAGAGUUCGGGAGAGGAGAGUGGAAUUCCCAGUGUAGAGGUGAAAUUCGUAGAUAUUGGGAAGAACACCGGUGGCGAAGGCGGCUCUCUGGACCGAGACUGACGCUGAGGCGCGAAAGCGUGGGGAGCAAACAGG